rnacentral:rRNA from 1 species
CCUACGGGAGGCAGCAGUGGGGGAUAUUGCACAAUGGGGGGAACCCUGAUGCAGCGACGCCGCGUGGGUGAAGAAGCGCCUCGGCGCGUAAAGCCCUGUCAGCAGGGAAGAAAAUGACGGUACCUGAAGAAGAAGCCCCGGCUAACUACGUGCCAGCAGCCGCGGUAAUACGUAGGGGGCAAGCGUUAUCCGGAUUUACUGGGUGUAAAGGGGGCGCAGACGGGGAUGCAAGCCAGGAGUGAAAGCCCGGGGCCCAACCCCGGGACUGCUCUUGGAACUGCGUGGCUGGAGUGCAGGAGGGGCAGGCGGAAUUCCUGGUGUAGCGGUGGAAUGCGUAGAUAUCAGGAGGAACACCGGUGGCGAAGGCGGCCUGCUGGACUGCAACUGACGUUGAGGCCCGAAAGCGUGGGGAGCAAACAGGAUUAGAUACCCCAGUAGUC